UAAUACGUAGGUGGCGAGCGUUGUCCGGAAUUACUGGGCGUAAAGGGCGCGCAGGCGGGUUUUUAAGUCAGAUGUGUAAUCUACAGGCUCAACCUGUAGUUUGCAUCUGAUACUGGAAAUCUUGAGGGUAGGAGAGGACAGUGGAAUUCCUAGUGUAGCGGUGAAAUGCGUAGAUAUUAGGAGGAACACCAGUGGCGAAGGCGGCUGUCUGGCCUACAACUGACGCUGAGGCGCGAAAGCGUGGGUAGCGAACAGGAUUAGAUACCCUGGUAGUCCACGCCGUAAACGAUGGGUACUAGGUGUAGGAGGUAUCGACCCCUUCUGUGCCGGAGUUAACACAAUAAGUACCCCGCCUGGGGACUACGGCCGCAAGGCUAAAACUCAAAGGAAUUGGCGGGGGCCCGCACAAGCGGUGGAGCAUGUGGUUUAGUUCGACGCAACGCGAAGAACCUUACCAGGGCUUGACAUCCUCUGAUGUCCAUAGAGAUAUGGAGUUCGAUCUUCGGAUUGGCAGAGAGACAGGUGGUGCAUGGUUGUCGUCAGCUCGUGUCGUGAGAUGUUGGGUUAAGUCCCGCAACGAGCGCAACCCCUGUUGUUAGUUGCCAUCAUUAAGUUGGGCACUCUAACGAGACUGCCGGUGAUAAAUCGGAGGAAGGUGGGGACGACGUCAAAUCAUCAUGCCCCUUAUGUCCUGGGCUACACACGUACUACAAUGGCGAUUACAGUGGGAAGCAAUAUCGCGAGGUGGAGCAAAUCCCCAAAAAUCGCCCCAGUUCAGAUUGCAGGCUGCAACUCGCCUGCAUGAACGCGGAAUUGCUAGUAAUGGCAGGUCAGCAUACUGCCGUGAAUACGUUCCCGGGCCUUGUACACACCGCCCGUCACACCAUGAGAGCUGACAACACCCGAAGUCGGUAGUUUAACCGUAAGGAGGACGCCGCCGAAGGUGGGGUUGGUGAUUGGGGUG
rnacentral:rRNA from 1 species